rnacentral:piRNA from 1 species
UGCAGACGGUGGAAAAAAUGA